AUGGAGAACAACAGGACCCUGUUCCUAUUUACUUCUCUGAGAGGUGCGCACAGUUUGCCUUGAUCUCUGGGUGAUUAAGGAUGAAGAGAUCACAAAUGCCUUUGGAUCUAUUUCCCUCACCUACAAUGUCAAGAUAAACCUUAUGACAGAAGGUCACAACUGAUUUUCUUCACAGGGCUCAUCUAUCCUGCUGUAUGGUGGAGAAAACACCUGCUGAAGCAUGAAGAAUUUAUGGGUUAGUUAAACAUGGGACAUUACCAAAAAGAGUUUUCUUCCCAACAGG